GAACCUUCCGACUUCACUUCCUGGAGGCUUUUGGUCGGGGCUUGAAACAAGGAAUCCUGGCAGCCCAACCUUGAUGUAGACACACACCUCUGGUCUGCACCAUUUUCACUAAACAAAUAUCAGUUAAUCCGUGCAGCUGUACUCCUGGGGUUUGCAUCAUCCAGACCAGAGGUUGCAGUUGGGUGCCCAUCGGCCUGUCCUUGUUUUCCAGACCUGUUAGGCCUUCAAGGUGUGUUUUUAAAUGUUUGAAUUAGUUAUCUGUAUUUAAAAACCAGGGUGUUUCAUACAGUAAGGUGGACUUUUGACUUCCUUUGAAACAUGAGAAGACCAGAGCGCCUGGCCUGCCAGAGCAGAGCCCAUGUUAGAUGUGACCGUCUGUACCUCCUCUGUUAUCCCCUCCUCCCCACCCUGUGCACCUGAGUUUUCUAGUUCUGCCUUAAACAAACUACAUUACCCAGUGCUCUCCUUUUUUAAAAAUUAUUAUUAAAGUAAUAGAUGAUUUAUAUACUCUAGGUCUAGGCCUAAACACUCAUAAUUAAAAUCUCAAUUUCCACAAAUUCAUCUUGACAGACUCAGCCAAUCAAAAACUGACUCUAUCUAUGUUUCCUGAAAACAGGUGCCAUGGAAUGUCCCUGUCCUGGAGCAUGUGGCCUCAGGACUUAAACCUGGCUUGUACUCUCUGUAGGUACUUGUUAUGCAAGGUUAGGCAAGUUCAUUACUGUCCUGGAACUUGUUUCCUUAAAAAUAGAUAUAAUAAAUCUACUUCCUCGCAUUACUGAAUAUUAAAUUAUUAUGUGUGAAAGCACCUUCAACAGUCCCUGGCCCACAAUUAUCACCCUAAAUAUGAGCUUCCCUCAUCCUUGAGAUUUUACUUAACUGAUGUGAGUACUUGAGAGAGAAUUCUGUAUUGUAUCUUUUUACUUAACUACAAAACCUUCAGUAAAAUCCAAAUUUUGAUAUGUAGGAGACUUACCUGGAUACUUGUUUAAAAGGCCACAUUUUGGGUUUCUCACCAGGAUUUUGACUCAGGAAAUCCUAAAUGGGGCCCUGGAGCUUGACAUUUUACCAUUUAAUUCUCGUGUCACAUUGCAGUCUGGUAGAACAAUUAUUUCCAUGUUACACGUAGGCACUUGGCAUAGCAUGCUUAGGUGUUCAUUUGAUAGUCGUGGAAUUUAAUUUCUUUUGACAGAUUUGUCUUUCGAAACUCAGUUUAUGUUCCUUCACCCAUCAGAUAUUUAUGGAGCAACUUCUGUGAGCCAGGCACUGUUCCAGAAGCUGGGAGUAUGACAGUGACCAAAUUAAAAAUCCCUGCCCACGUGGAACUUCUAUUCUAGUCAGGGAAGAAAGGCCACAUAAACAGCCUGUUUUGAAUUCCUGUGUAUUCGAUCAUUAUCUGUGCCCUGACAUUUGCCAUUUGCUGCAAUCUUGUUUGCUUUGACUCCUACCUCAGUUCCCUGCCAGGUGUACUUCUUUCCCAACCCUGGUCUGCAUAACCCUUACUCAGUGGCGAUUCUAUCUGUGACUGAGUGCUCUGCUGUUAUGCAGAUGAUUUUGGAAACAAAACGUCCGUAUCUCCUUUAGGCUUUACCCAAGGUUAACCUCUCAUUUCCAAAAGCCAUUAAGUUUCCACAACAGGCUUUUAAAAGCACAACUUGUAUAUAUAUUCUCUUCUUACAAAAUAUUAGGCUUGAUAGAAGUUGUGACUCUGCUCUCAUUUGUUUUGUUCUGUUAUCCUAUUGCUUUUCUUUUUCAGCCUCUUAGCUGUUAUGUCAAAUAUAAAACAACUCUGACUACUUUGCAUUCAUAGUCCAUAAGUUACUUUGAGUAGUACUUUAAAUAAUUUAUAAGUAAAAGAUAAUCUUAUCCUUAAAUAUGUGCUUUUUUUAGGUAUAUUUUGUUGCAUUAUUGAGCUCUUUGUAUUUUUCUGGAUGCAAUACUCAUUCUAGAGAAAUAUUAGAAGUCUAAUUUGAUAAUAAAAAUGAGAGGGGAUUUCAGUAUUCCAAAUAUUCUACAAAAUGGAUUACAUCUGAAAAUUCAGGUAAAGAAAUAUAAUUUAAUUUAAUUUAAUUUCUUCUUUAAAAAGGUAACUUUUUGUGAAAAUGCCUCAAAAUGUAUUCUUUCUAUCACUGCAUGGGUAUAUUUGUAUAUUUGACCUCUACCUGAUGUCAUCUUUGGCUCCUAAUUGCAUACUUUUUAUCAUUUCCCAAGUCCAUUUGACUUCCUGUUAAGAAAAAUGAACUGGGUUAAUGGAAAGUCUUUGGGAAACAAAACACCAAGGAUUUCACUUUGUCCUGUGAUGCACUUUGUAGAAGACAUACCAGUUUUUAAUCAGACAGCUGGUAAAUAUACAAGUAGAAUUAAAUGUGGUUGGACCAUGGACACUCACGCUAAUAAGUGGGCAAGAUGCUGUGCUUAGUAGAAGUUUAAACUGUCGCAUCGGAACUUAACUGGGGAAUGUGUACAUGGACCACCUUUGAAAGUGGCCAUUGAACUGAUGGGCCUACCCAUAAGAGCAGCUGGAAUUUUAAAACCAUAAGAGCUGGCUAUUCUUAUAGGAUAAGAAUUGAGACCUCAUGAUGUGAACACACAGUGCAAUCAGAACCCAUGGUUACUUAGAGAACCUGAAAAAAAAGAAAUCAUAUGCUCCAUUCCUUUCUACUUCUUUUUCUUCCCUAGGGGGUUGAAAUGGGAGGUGGCAUAAGGGUGAAAAUUUUGAACCUGGGCCUAUGCAAAGCCACAGUAAUAAUUGUAAGAAACCCACUUUUGUUUUAAUUUAUGUUUCCCUCCACCGAACUGACUUAGUGAUAGAAAUACCUGGAAUAUACCCCAUAACUUGGGUGUCUUGACUUUAGGCUCAAGGUGGAGACAUAGGAGGGGAGAUGCAAGGGGCUCAGAUGGCAUCAGUGAAGGAAACUAACAAAAGCAGAUUUUACAAGCCAAAAAGAAGCAGCUUCUUCAGCUCUAGUUUUUGCUGCAUCUUUUAUCAUGCCUAGGUUUUCCUUCUCAUUGGUAACAUUUUCAUGCCCCGCCCCAAUACCUCUCCAGUAAGAUCUUUAACAGGCGCAAUGGGACUUCUGCACUUCCCUUUAGUAACUGGUGACACAGUUCCUCUUGUAGUACAGAUACAUCCAGAUUUGGUCACUCUUCUGCUUUUAUGAUAUUAUUUUAGAAAUCACACUGUUAAAAGCUGUGUUUGAACACAUUUUUUAAAAAAUAAGAACUUUAAAUAUGCUUAAAAAGCUUAAGUUUAUGCUUUUAAAUAAAUGGGACCAGUGUCUUUAAUUUUUCAUAGCUAAAAUCUACAGUAAUUGUUAUCAGCCUACCCUCUUUUACUUUCAACUUGUAAAGAAAGUCUCCUUCUUAAGUUCCCUUUUGUACACCUAGCACGACCAGCUCUUAUGAUAACUGUCGUUUCAAGGAAACCCAUGUAUCUCAGUGAGCAGCAUUAAAUCACCAUGUUGCCAAGAAUUCCAGAGGUUUCUUCUCUAAUCGUGGUCACCACCAAUGUCUUCAUGAUAGAUAUGUUUUUAUUUCAUUGGGGGGAUGGUAGGUAAGACUUUUCUGGUCAAUUUAUUAAACUUUUGACUAUCUAGAAUUUAACUUUUUCAAUAAAGUGGCCAAAGAAUCCCACAAAUGACUACAGGUGCUAAUACAUAUGACGUAAAUGACACGUGCUGACUGGGGAAGGUGAGCCACUCUUGUGAGGUGGGGGAAUAAGUGAGUUUUGUUGUUUUGUUUUGGAAGGUGAGGGCUGGCGGGUGCAGGUAGAAUGCAGUCAGGAAACUCAGCAGGCUCAGAGAGGAAUCACACAACUAGCCAGAGAGGGAGCUAGAAACAGAUCAGAUAGUUAAGGGAACUAGAAUUGUUUAACCUGCAAAGGGUAAAGGAAGGGAAAGAUUAUUUUAUCGAUACAAAGGAAAUAUGAAUUUCAACCACAGUUGAACAUAAAAAGAGCAAACUUUUGAUUUAGAAUCAGUAGUUGCCAUGAGUUCAUUAAUAGAACCUCAAUUCUCUGACACUUUGUCCACAGUACAAGCAUCGUGAUAAAGACUGAAAAAGUAUCACCCAGAUAUUUGAAAAGUCAGCUUUCACCCAAACAAGAAAAUUUUAAAGCUGUCCAGUGGGCUUUGGUGUUGGUCUUGACACCCUGCAGCUUUCUUCUCACAGUGGCCGUGCUGGCGGUGGGGUGGGGGUCAUGAGGGCAGAGACCCACUCCAUGAAAUCAACUUGAAAAGCUUGAGGUAUCUUUCAAAUAGAUUUUUCUAGCUUAAUAAUAACCAACUAUUGAUUUAUCAUGAGAUAAAUUUUCUACAAACUUGAAUAUAUUUUUAUUUCUACUUGGUUGAGUUGGGGUAGUGAGUAAAAUCUAAGUGAUUGCCCCUUAAUCUAAACGUUAGCCGUUUAGAAACACAAUGUGAGACACUUCCAAAAUGAAUAAACAUCUCCUGCUGUUUAAAUAGCCAACCUUCCAGCUGAUUAAGAAACCGCCCAAGCAGGUCUUCUGAGUCACCAGUCACCAUAUGAUUCUGGACAUGUUGCUGACCUCUCUUCAGGCUUAUGUGAAGUUAGUAUUUUUUUCCUCUCACCAACUCACAGUGGUGUCUUGGGGACAGAAA